rnacentral:rRNA from 1 species
GAUGAACGCUAGCGAUAGGCUUAACACAUGCAAGUCGAGGGGCAGCGAGGGUAGCAAUACCUGUCGGCGACCGGCGCACGGGUGAGUAACGCGUAUGUAACCUGCCCGCAACAGGGGGAUAACCCGGCGAAAGUCGGACUAAUACCGCAUAAAACAGGGGUCCCGCAUGGGAAUAUUUGUUAAAGAUUUAUCGGUUGCGGAUGGGCAUGCGUACCAUUAGGUAGUUGGUGAGGUAACGGCUCACCAAGCCUUCGAUGGUUAGGGGUUCUGAGAGGAAGGUCCCCCGCACUGGUACUGAGACACGGACCAGACUCCUACGGGAGGCAGCAGUGAGGAAUAUUGGUCAAUGGGCGAGAGCCUGAACCAGCCAAGUCGCGUGAAGGAUGACUGCCCUAUGGGUUGUAAACUUCUUUUACAAGGGAAUAAAAUGAGAUACGUGUAUUUUAUUGCAUGUACCUUGGGAAUAAGCAUCGGCUAACUCCGUG